AGAUCUGAGCAUGGUCAAGGAAUUGGAUAUGAUGAGUCAGUAAAGAUUACCCGAGAUUGAAGAGAGCACAACAGGAAUUCACAGGUGAUACUCCUUGCUAAUUUGAGCAUUAUAGAAUAUUCACACAGGACCGAUUCUUCAUGUCGAACGAGAAAUAUAAUCGAUGUUAAACAUUUAAUUCCGGAAUUACAUGUGUAUGGACACGAAAAGUGACAUUUACCAUAGAAACUGUCUGGCCACUGAGUGGGGGAGAAGUGUAGCAUUGUGUGUGGACUCAAACUAUCCAGUAUAUUGAAGUGACACAUAGUGUUUGUGAUUGGACUAACUAUAAAACUACACUUCUUCCAAU